rnacentral:lncRNA from 14 species
CGCGUGGCGCCGGCGCCCUGGGCUGAGGGAAACCGCCGUCCUGCUGCUCCUUCCUCCCUGAGGAGCCCUGCGCCGAUAGCCGGACGAGGCAUCCCGGGUACAGCCAUGGGAAAAGGCCAUUGUUAGCAAAGUGCACUUAGGGGAAAUUCAGGACGGGCAAGUAACACUCUUCUGUGGAGCAGACAACUUCACUACGUGGCUGGUUGCGUCGGUAUUUGCAUGCUUCCAGUCAGUACAGACGUUAAAUCAUUUGAAGUUACCUUAAUGCAGUUCUCAACAUCUGUGCCCUUGCUGAGAUUACUUCAGUGCCCAGCAGCAGGAACACUCCACUAGAUGGAAAAGAAACGGAGUUAUUUAUACAAAAAUACUGAGCCACCUUUCAACUGGUUACUGGUUACUUUGAACCUGCACUGCAUAAGGGAGCAGCUGAGAUUAUUUGUUUUGUGAAACCUUACCUCCUGUAGUUUCUAUCUUAUAACCUUCAAGUCAGAUGACAUUUUACAGUGAUACUUUUCAAGCCCAGAUUCCUUACCUAUGCAUUUCUUUAACUGUUUUGGUGUCUUUUUUUUUUUUCUUAGUUCAUCUAAAACUAACUCAUUUAUAGUUUGCCCAAAGCGCUCAUGCCAUUGAAGUUUUCCACAUCCCUAUAACUAAAGGAAAAAAGACAGAAAAGAAGGUGAUUAAAUCAAUCACGCCUACUGCAGAAGUUUGAUUUUUGUCAACUGGGAGGAACAGGAAGAGAGACAGAUGAUGGGGACAGAACACAUUUCCUUGUUUGUUGCCAAACACUGCACUUUGGGUUUGCUUCAUUUGUCAGUAAAUGAUCUUUGAACAUUGAGAUUCUGGUUUCUUUACAAAAUGAUAGAGUAAAUGAACUAUUGAUGAUGCAUCUUCAGAAACCAUUCAUAAGACACUCAUUUUCUUUACAUAGUGCAAGUGGUUGAUAUGCAUUAUGAUCUGAUAAUCUUUCAGAAUCAUCUAAUGCACAAAAUUUUUUCUUGUAUAUAUAAUUCAUCUUGACCAAACUGCAUUAUUUGUUAAUAUGACUACUGUACUGUGUCAGGAGCCUGUUGUAUAAGACUGAAGUUCAGUUUAAUGAGAAACCACGCACACAAAAAAAAAUCUCUUUCCCCAUUCUUAGUACAAAAAAUAAAUGAUACACAUUUAUGAAUAGUCA